UUUGAUCAUGGCUCAGGAUGAACGCUAGCGGCAGGCCUAACACAUGCAAGUCGAGGGGUAGAGUUCUUCGGGACUUGAGACCGGCGCACGGGUGCGUAACGCGUAUGCAAUCUACCUUAUACAGGGGAAUAGCCCAGAGAAAUUUGGAUUAAUGCCCCAUAGUGUUAUCGAAUCGCAUGGUUUGAUAACUAAAGUUCCAACGGUAUAAGAUGAGCAUGCGUCCCAUUAGUUAGUUGGUAAGGUAACGGCUUACCAAGACAAUGAUGGGUAGGGGUCCUGAGAGGGAGAUCCCCCACACUGGUACUGAGACACGGACCAGACUCCUACGGGAGGCAGCAGUGAGGAAUAUUGGUCAAUGGGCGCAAGCCUGAACCAGCCAUGCCGCGUGCAGGAAGACGGUCCUAUGGAUUGUAAACUGCUUUUAUACAGGAAGAAACCCUCCCACGUGUGGGAGCUUGACGGUACUGUAGGAAUAAGGAUCGGCUAACUCCGUG
rnacentral:rRNA from 1 species